GCCUGGCUAGCUCAAUCGGUAGAGCGUGAGACUCUUACCAUUCCUUCGAUAGAAGACAAUGAUCUAAGGCAUCUCAAGGCUGCGGGUUCGACCCCCGCGUUGGGCU